rnacentral:rRNA from 1 species
ACGAAGGGUGCAAGCGUUACUCGGAAUUACUGGGCGUAAAGCGUGCGUAGGUGGUUCGUUAAGUCUGCCGUGAAAGCCCCGGGCUCAACCUGGGAAUGGCGGUGGAUACUGGCGGACUAGAGUGCGGUAGAGGGUGGUGGAAUUCCCGGUGUAGCAGUGAAAUGCGUAGAGAUCGGGAGGAACAUCUGUGGCGAAGGCGGCCACCUGGACCAGCACUGACACUGAGGCACGAAAGCGUGGGGAGCAAACAGG